rfam:Peniophora sp. CONT PENSPscaffold_183_Cont269, whole genome shotgun sequence.
GGCUCAAUGGUCUAGUCGUAUGAUUCCUGCUUCGGGUCUAUCCCGUACGAUUCCCGUACUCGCAUGCAGGAGGUCCCGGGUUCAAUUCCCGGUUGAGCCC